rnacentral:rRNA from 1 species
AGUGAAUAGAUACCCGGGUAGUCCCAGCUGUAAACGAUGCGCGUUAGGUGUAUCGGUGACCACGAGUCACCGAGGUGCCGAAAGGGAAACCGUGAAACGUGCCGCCUGGGAAGUACGGCCGCAAGGCUGAAACUUAAAGGAAUUGGCGGGGGAGCACCACAACAGGUGGAGCCUGCGGUUUAAAUCGGACUCAACGCCGGGAAGCUCACCGGAUAAGACAGCUGAAUGAUAGCCGGGUUGAAGACUCUGCUUGACUAGCUGAGAGGAGGUGCAUGGCCGUCGUCAGUUCGUACUGUGAAGCAUCCUGUUAAGUCAGGCAACGAGCGAGACCCACGCCAACAGUUGCCAGCAUGUCCUCCGGGAUGGUGGGGACACUGUUGGGACCGCCUCUGCUAAAGAGGAGGAAGGAAUGGGCAACGGUAGGUCAGCAUGCCCCGAAUUAUCCGGGCUACACGCGGGCUACAAUGGUCAGGACAAUGGGUAUCAACACCGAAAGGUGAAGGCAAUCUCCUAAACCUGUCCUUAGUUCGGAUUGUGGGCU